UGCCACUUUACUUUUUAUAUUUCAGCAUUGUGCAUGCAGUGGAUGCAAUCUCCACUGUACUGAUCGAUCGAGCUUCUCAGGUUUCUGAAGGUUGAGAUAGAGACUACUCUCUUUAAGCAUGCAGGCCGGGAGUGAACCUCACAAAGUGAUGGAGCAAAGUAAAUGGUCCAACUGCCUGAGGACUUUUAUUAUUAUGUGGACUUUGGGUAAUUUCAAUGUUAAUUUUCAUGUAUUGUUAUAAUUACUAUACUUAUUUUAAUUUCCCAAAAAUGGUAAGUAAUGUUAUUAAUAUAGGCCAAGUCAGCUCUAGUUUGAGCCGUAUAUAUAGUAUAAACAAGUUGAGUUUGGGUGGCCUUGGGCUAGCAGGCUAGGCAGUUUGUAAUUGAUUAUACUCUCACUGUCUCAUUCAUAAGUCAAAUCAACUCUUUUUUCUUUGCUUA